GACGAACGCUGGCGGCGUGCUUAACACAUGCAAGUCGAACGGAAAGGCCCUGCUUUUGUGGGGUGCUCGAGUGGCGAACGGGUGAGUAACACGUGAGUAACCUGCCCUUUACUUUGGGAUAACUUCAGGAAACUGGGGCUAAUACCGGAUAGGAGCUCCUGCUGCAUGGUGGGGGUUGGAAAGUUUCGGCGGUUGGGGAUUGACUCGCGGCUUAUCAGCUUGUUGGUGGGGUAGUGGCUUACCAAGGCUUUGACGGGUAGCCGGCCUGAGAGGGUGACCGGCAAAAUUGGGACGGGGAUACGGCCCAGACUCCUACGGGAGGCAGCAGGGGGGAAUAUGGCAAAAUGGGCGGAAGCCUGAUGCAGAAACGCCGCGGGCGGGAUGACGGCCUUCGGGUGGUAAACGGCUUUCGCAGGGGACGAGGCGUGAGUGACGGUAAUGGGUGAAGAAGCACCGGCUAACUACGUG
rnacentral:rRNA from 1 species